CCCACCGAAGGAUGAAUGUCA
rnacentral:miRNA from 15 species